CCAUAUCUUUGUGUUUACUGAUGGAAAGAGAUUAGGGAAAAAGAGAGGCGCCAAAGCCAGACAAAGCGACAUAGAGAAACGAAACGUCCCAUGGCGCCUAGAAAUUGUUGUCCACGAGGAAAAGUUAAUCAUAGUCUGAAAGAUCAAUCGUUCAUCUGAAAUCUGUUUGACUUCUUAUUCAUCUGUUUGACUUAUGGUUAAGUUUUGUUAUCGAAAUCAGUGUUUAUUUAGUUUUUUAGAAAUCUUAUUUGUUUCUUAUA